CCUUUUGCCUAAGGCCCCUGAUCUUUGGGAGAAAGAAACUGGGCAAGCAAAGGAUCCUGAAACUUGGCCUGGAUGCAGACUCCUCCAUGAUGUUAACAAGAGUGAAGAGAAAUCACAAAGAAUGCAAAAAACACGUGGCGUUAUCUGACCUCUUGAACGCAUGACCUCUUGAACGCACACUUUGCUCCUGGCUUCCCUGAGAUUGCCUGCGGGAGUCUCCCUGUUUGCGGAACUGUUUCUAAUGGCAUUGCAUGGAACUUCUUGUCCAGGGCCAAAGAAAAGAGUUGGGCAGACCAAAGCAAUGCAGGGCAGACAUAACCCGGAGGUUGCAACUAUCACCAUGAGCUUCCUCAACAAGCCCAAG